GCGGAUGUGGUGAAAUUGGUAGACACGCUAGACUUAGGAUCUAGUGCCGCGAGGUGUGUGGGUUCGAGUCCCCCCAUCCGUA
rnacentral:tRNA from 1 species